CCUGACGACGCAACGCCGCGUGGAGGAUGAAGGUCUUCGGAUUGUAAACUCCUGUUGCUCGGGAAGAACGGCUCCAACCCAAUACGUUGGAGUGUGACGGUACCGGGUGAGGAAGCCCCGGCUAACUCUGUGCCAGCAGCCGCGGUAAUACAGAGGGGGCAAGCGUUGUUCGGAAUUACUGGGCGUAAAGGGCGCGUAGGCGGCCUGUUAAGUCGAACGUGAAAUCCCCGGGCUCAACCCGGGAACUGCGUCCGAUACUGGCAGGCUCGAAUCCGGGAGAGGGAUGUGGAAUUCCAGGUGUAGCGGUGAAAUGCGUAGAUAUCUGGAGGAACACCGGUGGCGAAGGCGGCAUCCUGGACCGGUAUUGACGCUGAGGCGCGAAAGCCAGGGGAGCAAACGGGAUUAGAUACCCCGGUAGUCCUGGCCCUAAACGAUGAAUGCUUGGUGUGGCGGGAAUCGAUCCCUGCCGUGCCGAAGCUAACGCAUUAAGCAUUCCGCCUGGGGAGUACGGUCGCAAGGCUG
rnacentral:rRNA from 1 species